ensembl:lncRNA
UACAAAAACAAAAGACAUCAUCAGCAAUAAUGCUCAGUUGGUGCCAAGUAGUCCAAAAUACUCCAAAAACAUAUCCCCCACAGUGACUCUAGCAUCGGAAUUUUGCAGCAGAAAUCAAGACUCAUUAGACCAGAGAAUGUUUCGCCAGUCUUCUAUUGUCCUAUACUGGUGAGCGCGUGGGAUUUGUAGCUCAUUUCCUGUUCUUAGCUGAUGGAAGUGGCACCUGAUGUGGUGUUCUGCUGCUGUAGCUAUAUCCUCUUCUGCAUACCUCGGUUGUAACAACAGAUCAUUUGAGUUACUGUUGUCUAAUAUUCAGACAAGAUCCCUGUGCCAACAACAGUCACUCCAUAUGCAAAGUCACUUGUAUCACCUUUCUUCACUGAUGCUCAGUUUGAACAUGGUGCAUUGAGUUGCUGUCUGUCUUGGCUAAACAGAUGCUUGCAUUUGCAGUUGAGCAGUAUCUCUAAUAAAGUGUCCACUUGUUAUAUACUCAAAAAAAACUGACAACAAAAAAAAAAAAAGUUUGGGGCAACUGAGAAACUUUGAAAAAAAAGAAAAACUUUAUUAAUUUAACAAGCAUACAAAACAACAAAUCAUUUUCUUCAAACUAUCAAUGCAGUUUCAGUGCAAUUCCAAAAUAUACAUUUUCAGCAGGGCAUGUUAAUCAAAGUUAUUCACAUCCAGACACAGCCAUUUAAAUAGUUCUUCUGAUUAUCAUUUGACAAUUGUCCUAGCCAGAGGAAGCUCACGAGUAAUACCUUCUUGAGGUAAAACUGCACACAUUCAGUCUUUAAAUGUACAAAACAAAGCACUACACAAUUAAAUAUUAAAUACAGAAACAGAAACAUAAGUACUACAGCACAAAACAAAACAAGCAGUUGUAAACAAAUUUUGUAAACAAAAAAACCCCAAAGUAAGUAUGUGGUGAUAGAUAUUUGGUUUGUGGAUAUAAUAAAUACCUAGCUGAUGCACUGUAUGGUAUCCACACAGACAGUAUUUGGUGUGAAAGUGUGACAGACUGUCAGUUAUAAUUUUUAAAAGGUGAUAGAUGUGGAAAAUACAGAAAAAGUUUCCUCGUUUAUGGGUGUAUUUCCACAACUAAAGGCUAUAGCAUAGACAAACAGAGGCCAGUUAAACAUUUUAAAAAGCUGCUUCCUUUCUUCUCCUCUUCCUUCACCUAAAAAGUGGGACAUUCAACAUUUGCUCAUUUUUUCCUUUUUUAAAAUAAUGUUCACCGGCAACACAGGAAGUUGUCAAUCACCCACAGAAACAUUGUUACUUUAAGACAGGAUCAUAGUAUUAGCAGGGCACAGCAGUGAAACAAUAACAAGAGCUUAAGGAUGGCACUGUGAAAAAGAGGCUUUGAGUUGAGUCUGUUGUGAAUGGAGGAUUUUGUAGCUUGCUGAGUAAAUGGCCUGGUCACUCAGUGAUGACAGGUGAAUAUACAGCAACAGCCCAGAGGUUACAGUUUAACAGAGGUUCAUUUCAGUAAGGCUAAAAUAUUCAAUUUUGGGAGCUUUGUAGCACUGGUUUAAGCAUCAUUUCAAACAGCUCACAAAUAAAAAGUCAAAGGCUUUUCUAUAAAUCAGGCGCCACAUGAAGUAAUUAUCUUUCUAGACUAGGAGGCAACCUGUAAGUUAAACACUGAUAUGUCCCAUGAUUCUUUGGAGUUCACUUUUUCCAUCUCCUCAGUUGCUACAGGUAUGCUGCUACAUAAAAAGUGAACAGUUGUGCAACAGAAACAGAGCUAGGACACUCGCACCCAUUUGAGCUCAUGUUUUCACGAUCUUGCUUCAUGAUCGGCAUGCUUUUUUUAAAUUGUCACAAAUGUAAGCAUUUGUUUAUAUUGAGCUAUUUAUUGUUUGAGCUCUGAGUGAAUACUCCACUCAGCUGCUCCACAGGCUUGUGUGAAAGCACAACCCAUUCAUAGGUUAGUAAGUUAGUAAGGAACACUGCUACAGUCAGACUCGGCUGGGUGUUAAACACUUAAAUGCUGCUAUCACAAGUGCAGCAAACACUAUGUCAGCAUCUCAAAAUCCACCAAUGACAGAAGAGCAGAUUGUAAGGUAACCUAAAUUAAAUAUGCCCUUUACGACUAAGGAACAUAAAUAGAUACAUCACUCUGUAAUUGUGCUAUUUCUUCAAUAUGAGGGAUUCAAAAAGAACUCAAAGUUUCAGUUAGC